rnacentral:rRNA from 1 species
GUGUCAGCCGCCGCGGUAAAACGUAGGUCCCGAGCGUUGUUCGGAUUCACUGGGUGUAAAGGGCGCGUAGGUGGUUGUCUGUGUCUCAUGUGAAAACUCAGGGCUCAACUCUGAGAUUGCGUGGGAAACUAGGCAGCUAGAGUGUGAGAGAGGAAAGUGGAAUUCCCGGUGUAGCGGUGAAAUGCGUAGAUACCGGGAGGAACACCGGUGGCGAAGGCGGCUCUCUGGGCCGAUCCUGACGCUGAGGCGCGAAAGCUAGGGUAGCGAACCGGAUUAGAUACCCGGGUAGUCCUAGCCGUAAACGAUGGGUGCUAGGUGUUGGGGGGUAAAGACCCUUCAGUGCCGAAGCUAACGCGAUAAGCAUCCCACCUGGGGAGUACGGCCGCAAGGUUGAAACUCAAAGAAAUUGACGG